rnacentral:miRNA from 1 species
AAUACUCCUCCCAUUCC